GCCGCGUGAGUGAAGAAGGCCUUCGGGUUGUAAAGCUCUUUCGGCCGGGAAGAAAUCGUGGUCUCUAACAUAGGCCAUGGAUGACGGUACCGGACUAAGAAGCACCGGCUAACUACGUGCCAGCAGCCGCGGUAAUACGUAGGGUGCGAGCGUUAAUCGGAAUUACUGGGCGUAAAGCGUGCGCAGGCGGUUUUGUAAGACAGAUGUGAAAUCCCCGGGCUUAACCUGGGAACUGCGUUUGUGACUGCAAGGCUAGAGUACGGCAGAGGGGGGUGGAAUUCCUGGUGUAGCAGUGAAAUGCGUAGAGAUCAGGAGGAACACCGAUGGCGAAGGCAGCCCCCUGGGCCUGUACUGACGCUCAUGCACGAAAGCGUGGGGAGCAAACAGGAUUAGAUACCCUGGUAGUCCACGCCCUAAAACGAUGUCGACUAGUCGUUCGGAGCAGCAAUGCACUGAGUGACGCAGCUAACGCGUGAAGUCGACCGCCUGGGGAGUACGGCCGCAAGGUUAAAAACUCAAAGGAAUUGACGGG
rnacentral:rRNA from 1 species